rnacentral:rRNA from 1 species
ACGGAAGGCAGCAGUGGGGAAUAUUGCACAAUGGGCGGAAGCCUGAUGCAGCGACGCCGCGUGAGUGAAGAAGUAUCUCGGUAUGUAAAGCUCUAUCAGCAGGGAAGAAAAUGACGGUACCUGACUAAGAAGCCCCGGCUAACUACGUGCCAGCAGCCGCGGUAAUACGUAGGGGGCAAGCGUUAUCCGGAUUUACUGGGUGUAAAGGGAGCGUAGACGGUUUGGCAAGUCUGAAGUGAAAUGCGGGGGCUCAACUCCUGAACUGCUUUGGAAACUGUCGAACUAGAGUGCAGGAGAGGUAAGUGGAAUUCCUAGUGUAGCGGUGAAAUGCGUAGAUAUUAGGAGGAACACCAGUGGCGAAGGCGGCUUACUGGACUGUAACUGACGUUGAGGCUCGAAAGCGUGGGGAGCAAACAGGAUUAGAUACCCUGGUA